rnacentral:rRNA from 1 species
GACGAACGCUGGCGGCGUGCUUAAUACAUGCAAGUCGAGCGAGAAGCCACCGCUCCGUAAGGAGUGGUGGUGGACAGCGGCGAACGGGUGAGUAACACGUGGGUAAUGUGCCUUGGACACAGGGAUAACAGUGGGAAACCGCUGCUAAUACCUGAUAACCACGAUAGAUCGCAUGAUCGGUCGUGCAAAGCUCCGGCGGUCCAAGAUCAGCCCGCGGUGUAUCAGCUUGUUGGUGGGGUAACGGCCUACC